AAGCAUUUAGCAAAUGAAGAAACAUUUAUGCAAGAAAGUCUCCUAUAACUCAGUAAGAACAGCAAGAGUGUGUAGAAUCUGAAUUAUAACCGGCUCCUCCUCCGAGCUCAUUGUGACAGAAACUCCACUUCAGGCGUGUCAUAUGGUUGGAAUGAUAUGGUGCUGGAGCUGGGACUCCGCCAAGCACACGUCUGCUCUGCCAGUUGCCUCCGCCUGGGCUCUGCCACCAGAGGGCAGCUGCAGCGUGGGAGGAGGGAGAGCAGAGCGGGUCCCCUCUAGGCUCCCUUCUUCACUCCAGCAGUUGUAGCUCACUCCGGCAGGAGCUGUUGGGGCAGGCGUGCAGUGCUUCUAACACUCGCAGAACCAACUUCCUCUUGCCCACAUUUGAGGCAUUCCAGCCCCCAGUUCUGCCCCUCCCGCAA